GUGGGAUUUGCACACGAUAACGGCUUUCAGAGGUGGCUAGGACUUGGCCAGAAACCUUUCAGUUUACUGCAUAGUCUCUAUUGGAGCUUGGGAAAAUAUUUUCUGUGAACCUAGUUGGCAGCUUAGGUUUCCUUCUCCCCUGUUCCCAUGUGGAACUGAAGUCCAUUUACUAAGUGUUUCCAAACCUGUCCCGAGGCAGAGAUGAUUGUAAAGAGCCCCUCAGGAGCACUUAUUUGUGGUUUCUAGGCUGAAGGCUGGCUGUGCAACUUUGGCAUUCUUGAUCUAUCACCUGUGACUGAAAGCUCCCAAACUGAUGCAAAACUUCUAACUACAUAGGAAAGAGAUGAAUUCAAUGGUGAUCACUUUCCUUUGGAUCUCUGCAAAACUACAUACCUACUCAACAUAUUUUUGGAUAUAAUUUCAGAAUUAUAAUGUCUUCUAAUAUCCAAUGUUCUACCAAGUCACUCAAGAUACACCCAGCAGCCUCGCGGUCUUUGAUUGCUAAUGGGUAAGUAGAAGAUUUUGCAUUUCCAGUUGCCAAGAUCACUGGAAGGCUUGACAUCAGGUCACACAUGUCUGUACCUCCUUCCAAAAUGUUAGGAACUGUGAGACCCUCUUUAAUGUUGUUUCUCUCUUGGGUUGGAGGUGGGGUGUCUAAUUUUCUCUCACCCAGAGAACAUUUUUAACAACCUGAGUGAGAGGAGGAUGACUUUGCUCUCACUCUGUGCUGAACAAGGUCACUGAACUAGGUUUAUCCUCCCUAUUUAAUGUCUGAUGACUCACUUCCUAAGAUCUUAAAUGCUUUUUAUGCUACAGGUGCUGUAAAGAUUAUGGAGUUGGUGUUUGCCAAGUGUCUAGAGAUCUUGAAUGCAUCAUUCUUCUACAGGGCUUUUCCUUCAUUUGCCAACCAGAAAGAACAUAAAACUA
rnacentral:lncRNA from 1 species